UUACUUACACAUAUGUUCUUCCCUAAUAACAGAGUUUUACGAUCCGAAGACCUUCAUCACUCACGCGGCGUUGCUCCGUCAGGCUUUCGCCCAUUGCGGAAGAUUCCCUACUGCUGCCUCCCGUAGGAGUCUGGACCGUGUCUCAGUUCCAGUGUGGCCGAUCACCCUCUCAGGUCGGCUAUGCAUCGUUGCCUUGGUAAGCCGUUACCUUACCAACUAGCUAAUGCAGCGCGGAUCCAUCUAUAAGUGACAGCAAGACCGUCUUUCACUUUUGAACCAUGCGGUUCAAAAUAUUAUCCGGUAUUAGCUCCGGUUUCCCGAAGUUAUCCCAGUCUUAUAGGUAGGUUAUCCACGUGUUACUCACCCGUCCGCCGCUAACAUCAGAGAAGCAAGCUUCUCGUCCGUUCGCUCGACUUGCAUGUAUUAGGCACGCCGCCAGCGUUCAUCCUGAGCCAGGAUCAAACCCUG
rnacentral:rRNA from 1 species